GACCGGGAUGGACGCACCGCUGGUGUCCCAGUUGUCUUGCCAAAGGCAUCGCUGGGUAGCUAUGUGCGGAAGGGAUAAGUGCUGAAAGCAUCUAAGCAUGAAGCCCCCCUCGAGAUGAGAUUUCCCAUAGCGUCAAGCUAGUAAGAUCCCUGAAAGAUGAUCAGGUUGAUAGGUCAGAGGUGGAAGCGUGGAGACAUGUGGAGCUGA
rnacentral:rRNA from 1 species